rnacentral:rRNA from 1 species
AUUGAACGCUGGCGGCAUGCCUUACACAUGCAAGUCGAACGGUAACAGGUCUUCGGAUGCUGACGAGUGGCGAACGGGUGAGUAAUGCAUCGGAACGUGCCCAGUAGUGGGGGAUAGCCCGGCGAAAGCCGGAUUAAUACCGCAUACGACCUGAGGGUGAAAGGGGGGGAUCGCAAGACCUCUCGCUAUUGGAGCGGCCGAUGUCAGAUUAGCUAGUUGGUGGGGUAAAGGCCUACCAAGGCAACGAUCUGUAGUUGGUCUGAGAGGACGACCAGCCACACUGGGACUGAGACACGGCCCAGACUCCUACGGGAGGCAGCAGUGGGGAAUUUUGGACAAUGGGCGCAAGCCUGAUCCAGCAAUGCCGCGUGCAGGAAGAAGGCCUUCGGGUUGUAAACUGCUUUUGUCAGGGAAGAAAUCUUCUGGGUUAAUACCUUGCUGUUUUGACGUUACCAACAGAAUAAGCACCGGCUAACUUCGUGCCAGCAGCCGCCGUAAUAC